rnacentral:rRNA from 1 species
UACAGAGGUCUCAAGCGUUGUUCGGAUUCAUUGGGCGUAAAGGGUGCGUAGGUGGCGUCGUAAGUCAGGUGUGAAAUUUCGGAGCUUAACUCCGAAACUGCAUUUGAUACUGCGGUGCUUGAGGACUGGAGAGGAGACUGGAAUUUACGGUGUAGCAGUGAAAUGCGUAGAGAUCGUAAGGAAGACCAGUGGCGAAGGCGGGUCUCUGGACAGUUCCUGACACUGAGGCGCGAAGGCCAGGGGAGCAAACGGG